ensembl:lncRNA
UUAUCCUGAGAGAAACCCUGACCUUGCUGGAGUAGAGAUCAUUGUUAUUAUUUCCCCAUGAUGACAUCACCAGUUUCCCAGAGGUGACCUCUAACAGCCACAUGGCUCGGACUCCAGGUCCAGGAGUUGUACCACAGGAGAAAAACCCUGAGAUUAGGAAUUGGGGUUUUAUGUAGGAACAGGAUACCUACCCCCCCAACCCUCCUGAGAAAAAAGAGAAACCUCUGCCCCGCAGGCUUUCACAGUCCUUUGGAACGUAAAUGACUUCCCUGAAGAAGAGAGGGGGAAUCUGCAGGACAGGACGCGCACAGCAUUUGGCUCUGGAAGAGGUAAGUGUUAUUACCCUUUGAAGGAGAGCAGAUGGUUCAAGGUCUAUCGAAUACCCUUAACUUCCAAGGCUUGUCCUUUAACCCAGGUGCCGGUAAUGUUUCCUCAGAAAGUCCUAACUGUGCAGAACCAUGAAAAUAUCCACUUCUUGAUACACAUCAGUGGUUGCUUGUGGCUGAAUGUUGGAGCGGGAUUGACAGCGACUGGCAGCCAUUCGUAUGAUGCACAUGUUUGCGAUCAAAUCUCCCUCAAGAGCUUCAGAAGUGACGCCUGGAAUCCACAUUCUAAUGUCAAAUUCUAAAAUCAAAAACUACCAGCGGUGGGGCCAACCACUCGGAAGAGAGGAUUUCUGAAAGUCACUAUUCAGCACAGCUAGAACCACCCAUUAGAGCAGCCCUCCACUUCUCCACUUCCCCUGAACGAUAUACAAAGAAGGAAGCUAGAAGUCACCUUUGAAGGGAAUGAGAGUUUGUGGAGCAGCUUCCCAUACUCCUCCCGUAGGUGAGGAGGAACGUUCGAAAUAUUCUUUCUGAUCCGACAUGGGUGAGAAUGUCAGAACUCCUACCUCUUCCACAACGUUGUGACUGCUGAUCAUCCUCACGUAACAUUUUCUAAGCUACAGAAUGAGCAGCACACUUGCUGCCCUAAACUUAAAGCUACUGAUGAGAGAAGAGAGGGGCAAGAGAGAGGAGGAGAGACAACUACAGGGGGGUUAUUGCCUGUAUCCCCACUGUGUGAUGUGGCAAGGAUAUCAGUUUCCCACAAGCACAAUGGGUAUAGGUUAGAAAUUGAGUGAUUUUGCUGGUACUCUCCAAGAGAGCUACCUAAUGGAACAGGCAUCCCCAACCGCAGGAGAUAAUGAAGUGAAAUCCCCAUGGCAGAAAUGGGGACAGUAAGUGGUUAAGCUUCAGCUGACCCUUCCAAGCCAUGGCAGCCAAGGGUAAGAAUUAGGGCUCUUCACAGACCCAGGGAACUUCUGCCCACUAGAAAACACACAUUUGGAUGCCUACCACAGAGCAGUAGCUGGAACUGACAGAAAGGGAAGAACAAAUUGCUACAGUGGAUUUAAGUAAUGGAAGAGCAUUUCAACUAACAAAGGAAACAUCAGCCAAUUAUCCAUAGGCAGUUGCACAUGAAAACGCAGACUCUUCUCCCUCUCUGCCUCCACACCAGAGGACUAAGAGCUUGAAAGAGGGCAAGGUCGUAAGAGAGUUUGCUCCACUUCCCCCGUUAACACAAGUCCCAAACCACCAGGCUGGACUUGGGGGGAAAGGAGAGCUUUAAUUAGUUACAAGAUUU